rnacentral:misc_RNA from 1 species
AAGUCGUAACAAGGUUUCCGUAGGUGAACCUGCGGAAGGAUCAUUAUUGCAUUUGAAAGGGGUUGUAGCUGACUCUUAUCGGGAAGAGUAUGUGCACGCCUUGUUCCAAAUCUUCACACCUGUGCACUUUUUGUAGGCUAGGUGCUAGCCUAGUCUAUGUUGUUUUAUUACACACACAAAAAAGAAUUGUUUACGGAAUGAUUGAUGUUGGCUUGCCUGAGGCAAGCUGAUAAAACCAUAUACAACUUUCAACAACGGAUCUCUUGGCUCUC